ACUGGAAAGGCCCCUUGCCAGACCUUGAUGCAGAAUGCAUGGAAUAUUCACCUUAUGUGGAUCAUGGAACAGACGGUUAUCUGAAGUUAAGAUUAUAAGCGGAGAAGUUCUUUUUCUUUGGCACUCCCCCAGUCAAUUGUUUUGGGGGUUCUUUGCCAGAUUCCCCAACAGCUCCAACAUCACAAGCUGGGUCUGUACUGUCUUGUUAUCAGCAGACCUGAGAAGAAAGGUCUACGUGGAGAAAAACAGUCGAGGCACAAAAACCCAGGUGAAGCAGUGUUUCCCUUCCAUUGUGAACCUGGUUAUCCAGAACCUACCUCAGUCAAUAAAAAGGGGAGGAAUUAACCCGCCCACCCAUCUCUGGGUGGGUGUAGACCUUCUCUUCCCACUUCCCUGGCUUGCUUGCUUUAGGAAAUGGCCCAGGAGAUUGGUGUCAGGGUUGGACACAAUUGCUUAAGUAUCUGAUACUGAAGACUGAGAACGCCAGUAUCUGGAACACAGCCAUGAACACCUUGAGUGUCUGACAUUGUCCAUUUGAUGAAUGCCAUGGGGGAGCCUAGUUGGAAGCGUACUAUCCCAAACUUUGCCAAGUCCCCAUGGAUAGAGUCUGUAUCUUGGCAGAAAGUCCAAAGGGACCAGGAUGGACCAUAUCUCAUGACCAUACAAAUCUUCCCCAAGUCCUAGUUCACCUCUAAUGCCAAGGAAUCCGAGAGAUUUCCUGACAUCUUUUAUCACUUAUCUCAAGGAUUGCUCGUUCCGAGGAUUUUGAAUGACUACUCGAACUGGUUUAUCCAAGGUGAUGUAAAUUAUGAUCUUGGUUUGAUGACACUCUUGCAUGGAUGGAAAGAGGCAUGGAGUUCUUUGUACUAACAUCCUAUGAAGAACUCCAGACGGACCUUGGGGGCAGUGUAGAGAAGAGUCAUCAAUUCCUUGGUUGAGAAUGGAAACCUGAAGCACUACUGAGUCAGUCCUCCAAAAACAGUUCCUUCUCACAACAAAGAAGAACAAAAUGUCCAGCUAUGUCACAACUGUUAGUGCUAUAUUGGGCUUCACUAAAGCAUCAAUGCUGAGAAAGGGUGACAGGGGAUGGUUCUGGGGCUCCAAGGUUGUAUCAGAGAAAUUGAUUGUUUGGUUCUAUGUCUCGUGUUUUAUAGGAAUGUCAAAGAUAUGUCUUGACUGGCCCAUAUUCAAUGUUUGAGGCAGUUUCGUUAUUUUCAGAAUAAAGACAAAUGGGCCUCACAGCACCAUGGGAAGGAAGGAUCAGGAAAUACAUAGCUCACCUUUUCCUCUGAAUAGUAACUACCCCUGCUGAGGGCUCAGAGAACCCAGAGUAUUAGGAACUUCCAGCCUAUCUUGGUUAGUUAGGUGCUCUGGAUUAUCCAUCUUCUUGUAACUUUUUUUAUUUUGGAGUAAUAUAUAACUGCUCCUUAUCUACUUUUCCCCAAAGACUACAUCCUUGUAGCUAUAGUACAACAUCAAAUAUAGGAACACAGUAUCACAAAAAUCUAUAGAGCUUGAAGAUUUAACUUUACAUGAAUUCAUUUUUUUAAUAUGAAAUUUAUUUUCAAAUUGGUUUCCAUAACACCCAGUACUCAUCCCAACAGGUGCCCUCCUCAAUACCCAUCACCCACCCUCCAUGUU